CCUACGGGAGGCAGCAGUGAGGAAUAUUGGUCAAUGGGCUUACGCCUGAACCAGCCAAGUCGCGUGAGGGAAGACUGCCCUAUGGGUUGUAAACCUCUUUUGUCAGGGAGCAACGCCGGCUACGUGUAGCCGGACUGAGAGUACCUGAAGAAAAAGCAUCGGCUAACUCCGUGCCAGCAGCCGCGGUAAUACGGAGGAUGCGAGCGUUAUCCGGAUUUAUUGGGGUUAAAGGGUGCGUAGGCGGAAAUCCAGGUCAGCGGUAAAAUCGCGGGGCUAAACCUCGCUCUGCCGUUGAAACUGGCGUUCUUGAGUGGGCGAGAAGUAUGGGGAAUGCGUGGUGUAGCGGUGAAAUGCAUAGAUAUCAAGAAGAA
rnacentral:rRNA from 1 species